UACGUAGGGCGCAAGCGUUAUCCGGAAUUAUUGGGCGUAAAGAGCUCGUAGGCGGUUUGUCGCGUCUGCCGUGAAAACCCGGGGCCUCAACUCCGGGCUUGCGGGCGAUACGGGCAGACUGGAGUACUGCAGGGGAGACUGGAAUUCCUGGUGUAGCGGUGGAGUGCGCAGAUAUCAGGAGGAACACCGGUGGCGAAGGCGGGUCUCUGGGCAGUAACUGACGCUGAGGAGCGAAAGCGUGGGGAGCGAACAGG
rnacentral:rRNA from 1 species